rnacentral:SRP_RNA from 2 species
GCUGGGCAUGGUGGCGUAUGCCUGUAGUCCCAGCUAUUCCAGAGGCCGAGGUGGGAGGAUCACUUGAGCCCAGGAGCUCAAGGCUGCAGUGAGCCACAAUCAUGCCACUGCACCCCAGCCUGGGUGAGAGAGUGAGACCCUGUCUCAA